GGACAGAUGGCCGAGCUGGUUAUGGCGCCAGGUUAAGGUUACCUUAAUCCUCAGAUCAUACGAUCUAAUUUCCUGGUCACGAAAGUGGCGUGGGUUCGAGUCCCACUCUGUUCA